rnacentral:snRNA from 14 species
AUGCUCUAAACUUAUGAGUAAGGAAGAUAAGUUUUUGGGGAUGAACCCUGAGUCCUCAUAACUGGUAUAAAACCAAGUUUUAGGUGGGUAAAGCUGACCCCUAAGUGGAACGCCUGAGUAAAUGAAUCUGCCUG